rnacentral:rRNA from 1 species
CCUACGGGGGGCUGCAGUGGGGAAUAUUGGACAAUGGGGGGAACCCUGAUCCAGCCAUGCCGCGUGUGUGAAGAAGGCCCUCGGGUUGUAAAGCACUUUCAGUGAGGAAGAACGCCUGGUGGUUAAUACCCAUCAGGAAAGACAUCACUCACAGAAGAAGCACCGGCUAACUCCGUGCCAGCAGCCGCGGUAAUACAGAGGGUGCGAGCGUUAAUCGGAAUUACUGGGCGUAAAGCGCGCGUAGGUGGCUUGAUAAGCCGGUUGUGAAAGCCCCGGGCUCAACCGGGGAACGGCAUCCGGAACUGUCAAGCUAGAGUGCAGGAGAGGAAGGUAGAAUUCCCGGUGUAGCGGUGAAAUGCGUAGAGAUCGGGAGGAAUACCAGUGGCGAAGGCGGCCUUCUGGACUGACACUGACACUGAGGUGCGAAAGCGUGGGUAGCAAACAGGAUUAGAUACCCCAGUAGUC